CCCUUAGAUGUUCGGGGCCGCACGCGCGCUACACUGAAGGAAUCAGCACGUCUUUCUCCUUGUCCGAAAGGACUGGGUAACCCGCUGAACCUCCUUCGUGCUAGGGAUUGGGGCUUGUAAUUCUUCCCCAUGAACGAGGAAUUCCCAGUAAGCGCGAGUCAUAAGCUCGCGUUGAUUACGUCCCUGCCCUUUGUACACACCGCCCGUCGCUACUACCGAUUGGAUGGUUGAGUGAGAUCCUCGGAUUGGUCCCGGCGCGGCCUCUGGUCGUGCCGGAGUGCCGAAAAGAAUGUCGAACUUGAUCAUCUAGAGGAAGUAAAAGUCGUAACA
rnacentral:rRNA from 1 species